rnacentral:misc_RNA from 1 species
AAAAAAAAAAAAAAAAAAACACGACAUCGCAGGCAACUAAUCAAUCCAGCUCAACGGCCCCGAAUAGUAUCCAGAAAAUAAUGUACUCGUUAAAUCAAUAACAACAUCCAAAUCCAAAUAUAAUCAUAUAACAAAACCUAAACUUUAAAACUUCGAUGAUUCUACAGAAAGAGACUAAUCAAAUCUCCACAACCCUAAAGGAAGACAUAAUCAAAUCAGAUCAGCUCUCUAUCACUCACAAAGUUGAAUCAAUCUCAAAAAUCCGGUAAACAAAACAAAAACCGACGCAAAACAACAAAUCCUAAUUUAUACAGUUGAACAAACUUGAACGACGCGAUAUUCAUCACAAUACCUCGACAAACCAAAAGAUCAAGCAAAGACCCAAAUCAGAAUAUAUAUCUCAAACAACAAUACCACUUAAAAAUUGAUAAAGGAAACUGCACAUACCUUGAGAGAAAGAGAGAGUCUUUGAAAGAUUUCUAUCUAUCGAAAGUUAUCUUAAUCACGAGAUGAUUAGGUUCGCGUCGAUCCCCUCUAUUUAUGCUAAAUAUCGCCUGCUGA